UACAGAGGGCUCAAGCGUUGUUCGGAUUCAUUGGGCGUAAAGGGUGCGUAGGUGGCGUUAUAAGUCAGGUGUGAAAUCUCGGGGCUCAACCCCGAAACUGCACUUGAUACUGUAAUGCUCGAGUACUGGAGAGGGGAUUGGAAUUUACGGUGUAGCAGUGAAAUGCGUAGAUAUCGUAGGGAAGACCAGUGGCGAAGGCGAAUCUCUGGACAGUUACUGACACUGAGGCACGAAGGCCAGGGGAGCAAACGGG
rnacentral:rRNA from 1 species